GUGGGGAAUCUUGGACAAUGGGGGCAACCCUGAUCCAGCCAUGCCGCGUGAGUGAUGAAGGCCUUAGGGUCGUAAAGCUCUUUCGCCAGGGAUGAUAAUGACAGUACCUGGUAAAGAAACCCCGGCUAACUCCGUGCCAGCAGCCGCGGUAAUACGGAGGGGGUUAGCGUUGUUCGGAAUUACUGGGCGUAAAGCGCGCGUAGGCGGACCAGAAAGUUGGGGGUGAAAUCCCGGGGCUCAACCCCGGAACUGCCUCCAAAACUCCUGGUCUUGAGUUCGAGAGAGGUGAGUGGAAUUCCGAGUGUAGAGGUGAAAUUCGUAGAUAUUCGGAGGAACACCAGUGGCGAAGGCGGCUCACUGGCUCGAUACUGACGCUGAGGUGCGAAAGUGUGGGGAGCAAACAGGAUUAGAAACCCUAGUAGUCC
rnacentral:rRNA from 1 species